GCUGGGCGUGGUGGCGCACGCCUGUAGUCCCAGCUACUUGGGAGGCUGAGGCAGAAGUAUUGUUUGAACCCGGGAGGCGGAGGUUGCAGUGGGCCGAGACUGCACCACUGCACUCCAGCCUGGGCAACAGAGUGAGACUCUGUCUCAA
ensembl:misc_RNA Metazoa_SRP Metazoan signal recognition particle RNA